rnacentral:rRNA from 1 species
AACGAACGCUGGCGGCAUGCCUAACACAUGCAAGUCGAACGAACCCUUCGGGGUGAGUGGCGCACGGGUGCGUAACGCGUGGGAACCUGCCCUUAGGUUUGGAAUAACAGUGAGAAAUCGCUGCUAAUACCAAAUAAUGUCUUCGGACCAAAGAUUUAUCGCCUUUGGAUGGGCCCGCGUAGGAUUAGCUAGUUGGUGAGGUAAUGGCUCACCAAGGCGACGAUCCUUAGCUGGUCUUCGAGGAGGAUCAGCCACACUGGGACUAAGACACGGGCCAGACUCCUACGAGAGGCAGAACUUGAGAAUCUUGGACAAUGGGCGAAAGCCUGAUCCAGCAAUGCCGCGUGAAUGAUGAAGGCAUUAGGGUUGUAAAGCUCUUUUACCAGGGAUGAUAAUGACAGUACCUGGAGAAUAAGCUCCGGCUAACUCCGUGCCAGCAGCCGCCGUAAAAC